rnacentral:rRNA from 1 species
CCUGCCUGGUAGCGGGGGAUAACUAUUGGAAACGAUAGCUAAUACCGCAUAACAGUAGAUAUCGCAUGAUAUGUGCUUGAAAGGUGCAAUUGCAUCACUACCAGAUGGACCUGCGUUGUAUUAGCUAGUUGGUGAGGUAACGGCUCACCAAGGCAACGAUACAUAGCCGACCUGAGAGGGUGAUCGGCCACACUGGGACUGAGACACGGCCCAGACUCCUACGGGAGGCAGCAUG